rnacentral:rRNA from 1 species
UGGCGAACGGGUGAGUAAUACAUCGGAACGUGUCCUGUAGUGGGGGGAUAGCCCGGCGAAAGCCGGAUUAAUACCGCAUACGACCUAAGGGAGAAAGCGGGGGAUCUUCGGACCUCGCGCUAUAGGGGCGGCCGAUGGCAGAUUAGCUAGUUGGUGGGGUAAAGGCCUACCAAGGCGACGAUCUGUAGCUGGUCUGAGAGGACGACCAGCCACACUGGGACUGAGACACGGCCCANACUCNUACNGGAGGCAGCAGUGGGGAAUUUUGGACAAUGGGGGCAACCCUGAUCCAGCAAUGCCGCGUGUGUGAAGAAGGCCUUCGGGUUGUAAAGCACUUUUGUCCGGAAAGAAAACUUCGCCGCUAAUAUCGGUGGAGGAUGACGGUACCGGAAGAAUAAGCACCGGCUAACUACGUGCCAGCAGCCGCGGUAAUACGUAGGGUGCGAGCGUUAAUCGGAAUUACUGGGCGUAAAGCGUGCGCAGGCGGUCUGUUAAGACCGAUGUGAAAUCCCCGGGCUUAACCUGGGAACUGCAUUGGUGACUGGCGGGCUUUGAGUGUGGCAGAGGGGGGUAGAAUUCCACGUGUAGCAGUGAAAUGCGUAGAGAUGUGGAGGAAUACCGAUGGCGAAGGCAGCCCCCUGGGCCAACACUGACGCUCAUGCACGAAAGCGUGGGGAGCAAACAGGAUUAGAUACCCUGGUAGUCCACGCCCUAAACGAUGUCAACUAGUUGUUGGGGAUUCAUUUCCUUAGUAACGUAGCUAACGCGUGAAGUUGACCGCCUGGGGAGUACGGUCGCAAGAUUAAAACUCAAAGGAAUUGACGGGGACCCGCACAAGCGGUGGAUGAUGUGGAUUAAUUCGAUGCAACGCGAAAAACCUUACCUACCCUUGACAUGGUCGGAACCCUGCUGAAAGGUGGGGGUGCUCGAAAGAGAACCGGCGCACAGGUGCUGCAUGGCUGUCGUCAGCUCGUGUCGUGAGAUGUUGGGUUAAGUCCCGCAACGAGCGCAACCCUUGUCCUUAGUUGCUACGCAAGAGCACUCUAGGGAGACUGCCGGUGACAAACCGGAGGAAGGUGGGGAUGACGUCAAGUCCUCAUGGCCCUUAUGGGUAGGGCUUCACA